rnacentral:rRNA from 1 species
CAAUAGCGUAUAUUAAAGUUGUUGCGGUUAAAAAGCUCGUAGUUGGAUUUCUGCCGAGGACGACCGGUCCGCCCUCCGGGUGAGUAUCUGGUUUGGCCUGGGCAUCUUCUUGGAGAACGUAGCUGCACUUGACUGUGUGGUGCGGUGUCCAGGACUUUUACUUUGAGGAAAUUAGAGUGUUUCAAGCAGGCACACGCCUUGAAUACAUUAGCAUGGAAUAAUAAGAUAGGACCUCGGUUCUAUUUUGUUGGUUUCUAGAGCUGAGGUAAUGAUUAAUAGGGAUAGUUGGGGGCAUUCGUAUUUAACUGUCAGAGGUGAAAUUCUUGGAUUUGUUAAAGACGGACUACUGCGAGAGCAUUUGCCAAGGAUGUUUUCAUUGA